CCUACGGGUGGCAGCAGUGGGGAAUAUUGCACAAUGGGGGAAACCCUGAUGCAGCGACGCCGCGUGAGUGAAGAAGUAAUUCGUUAUGUAAAGCUCUAUCAGCAGGGAAGAAAAUGACGGUACCUGAGUAAGAAGCCCCGGCUAACUACGUGCCAGCAGCCGCGGUAAUACGUAGGGGGCAAGCGUUAUACGGAUUUACUGGGUGUAAAGGGGGCGUAGACGGCAGUGCAAGUCUGGAGUGAAAGGCCGGGGCUCAACCCCCGGACUGCUCGGUAAACUGUACGGCUGGAGUGCAGGAGAGGUAAGGGGAAUUCCUGGUGUAGCGGUGAAAUGCGUAGAUAUCAGGAGGAACACCGGUGGCGAAGGCGGCUUACUGGACUGUAACUGACGUUGAGGCUCGAAAGCGUGGGGAGCAAACAGGAUUAGAUACCCCUGUAGUC
rnacentral:rRNA from 1 species